GGCCGUGUGCCCGAGUGGCUGAGGGGCUCGCCUGCAAAGCGAGUUACGCCGGUUCGAUUCCGGUCACGGCCUCCA
rnacentral:tRNA from 1 species